UACGUAGGGUGCGAGCGCUAAUCGGAAUUACUGGGCGUAAAGCGUGCGCAGGCGGUUCGUCGUGUCCGAUGUGAAAGCCCCGGGCUCAACCUGGGAAUGGCAUUGGAAACUGGCGGACUCGAGUGUGGCAGAGGGGGGUGGAAUUCCGCGUGUAGCAGUGAAAUGCGUAGAGAUGCGGAGGAACACCGAUGGCGAAGGCAGCCCCCUGGGCUAACACUGACGCUCAGGCACGAAAGCGUGGGGAGCAAACAGG
rnacentral:rRNA from 1 species